rnacentral:rRNA from 1 species
AGUUUGAUCCUGGCUCAGGAUGAACGCUGGCGGCGUGCCUAAUACAUGCAAGUCGAGCGAACAGACAAGGAGCUUGCUCCAUAGACGUUAGAUCGGCUGGACGGGUCAGUAACACGUCGGUAACAAGGUAACCUAUAGAGUUUGAUCCUGGCUCAGUAACUUCGGGAAACAAGAGCUAAUACCGGAUAGAGAUUUCGAACCGCAUGGCUCAGAUAAGUCGUAACAAGGAAGACAGUUUGGUUGCUAUCACUUAUAGAUGGACCCGCGCCGAAUUAGCUAGUUGGUAAGGUAACGGCGGACCAAGGCGACGAUACGUAGCCGACCUGAGAGGGUGAUCGGCCACACUGGAACUGAGACACGGUCCAGACUCCUACGGGAGGCAGCAGUAGGGAAUCUUCCGCAAUGGGCGAAAGCCCUGACCGAGCAACGCCGCGUAAGUGAUGAAGGUCUUCGGAUCGGAAAACUCUGGUAUUAGGGAAGAACAUACGUGUAAGUAACCAUGCACUGUCUUGACCGUACCUAAUCAGAAAGCCAAGGCUAACUACGUGCCAGCAGCCCCCGGUAAUACGUAGGUGGCAAGCGUUAUCCGGAAUUAUUGGGCGUAAAGCGCGCGUAGGCGGUUUUUUAAGUCUGAUGUGAAAGCCCACGGCUCAACCGUGGAGGGUCAUUGGAAACUGGAAAACUUGAGUGCAGAAGAGGAAAGUGGAAUUCCAUGUGUAGCGGUGAAAUGCGCAGAGAUAUGGAGGAACACCAGUGGCGAAGGCGACUUUCUGGUCUGUAACUGACGCUGAUGUGCGAAAGCGUGGGGAUCAAACAGGAUUAGAUACCCUGGUAGUCCACGCCGUAAACGAUGAGUGCUAAGUGUUAGGGGGUUUUCCGCCCCUUAGUGCUGCAGCUAACGCAUUAAGCACUCCGCCUGGGGAGUACGACCGCAAGGUUGAAACUCAAAGGAAUUGACGGGGACCCGCACAAGCGGUGGAGCAUGUGGUUUAAUUCGAAGCAACGCGAAGAACCUUACCAAAGUCUUGACAUCCCUCUGACAACUCUAGAAGAUAGAGCCUUCCCUCUUCGGGGGACAAAGUGACAGGUGGUGCAUGAUUGUCGUCAGCUCGUGUCGUGAGAUGGUAGGUUAAGGUCCCGCAACGAAGCCCAACCCUUAAGCUUAGUUGCCAUCAUUAAGUUGGGCACCCUAAGCUGACCUGCCGAUGGACAAAAUCCUGGAGGAAGGUGGGGAUGACGUCAAAUCAUCAUGCCCCUUAUGAUUUGGGCUACACACGUGCCACAAUGGACAAUACAAAGGGCAGCGAAACCGCGAGGUCAAGCAAAUCCCAUAAAGAAGGUCUCCAGUACGAGAUUGUAGUCCGCAACUCGACUACAGUCGUAAGCAAGGUAAUCGCAUAGUAAUCGUAGAUCAGCAUGCUCACGGUGAAUACGUUCCCGGGUCUUGUACACACCGCCCGUCACACCACGAGAGUUUGUAACACCCGAAGCCGGUGGAGUAACCAUUUGGAGCUAGCCGUCGAAGGUGGGACAAAUGAUUGGGGUGAAGUCGUAACAAGGUAGCCGUAUCGGAAGGUGCGGCUGGAUCACCUCCUUUCU